UAACAAUGAUUUCCCUAGUAACGGCGAGUGAAGAGGAAAGAGCUCAAAGUUGGAACCUGUUUGGCUUAGCUAAACCGGAUUGUAAACUGUAGAAGUGUUUUCCAGACACGCCUGGUAAAAAAGUCCUUUGGAACAGGGCAUCAUAGAGGGUGAGAAUCCCGUCUUUGGCCAGAGCUGUUGUCUUUUGUGAUACAUUUUCAAAGAGUCAGGUUGUUUGGGAAUGCAGCCUAAAUUGGGUGGUAAAUCUCACCUAAAGCUAAAUAUUUGCGAGAGACCGAUAGCGAACAAGUACCGUGAGGGAAAGAUGAAAAGAACUUUGAAAAGAGAGUUAAACAGUAUGUGAAAUUGUUAAAAGGGAACCGUUUGGAGCCAGACUGGCUUGACUGUAAUCAAUCUAGGCUUCGGCCUGGAUGCACUUGCGGUUUAUGCCUGCCAACGACAAUUUUUUUUGAGGGAAAAACUAUUAGGAAUGUGGCCCCCCUCGGGGGGUGUUAUAGCCUUUUAGAAAAUACCUUGAGUUGGAUUGAGGAACGCAGUGAAUGCCUUUAGGCAAGAUUGCUGGGCGCUUUCGCUAAUAAAUGCUAGAAUUUCUGCUUCGGGUGGUGCUAGUGUUUAAAGGAGAAACUCGUCUGGUAUAUUUUUUAUUCGCUUAGGUUGUUGGCUUAAUGACUCUAAAUGACCCGUCUUGAAACACGGACCAA
rnacentral:rRNA from 1 species